rnacentral:rRNA from 1 species
UACGGGGGGGGCAAGCGUUGUUCGGAAUUACUGGGCGUAAAGGGCUCGUAGGUGGCCAACUAAGUCAGACGUGAAAUCCCCAGGCUUAACCUGGGAACUGCGUCUGAUACUGGAUGGCUUGAAUUCGGGAGAGGGAUGCAGAAUUCCAGGUGUAGCGGUGAAAUGCGUAGAUAUCUGGAGGAACACCGGUGGCGAAGGCGGCAUCCUGGACCGAGAUUGACACUGAUGAGCGAAAGCCAGGGGAGCAAACGGG